rnacentral:rRNA from 1 species
AGUGAACGCUGGCGGUAGGCCUAACACAUGCAAGUCUAACGGCAGCACAGUAAGAGCUUGCUCUUACGGGUGGCGAGUGGCGGACGGGUGAGGAAUACAUCGGAAUCUACUUUUUCGUGGGGGAUAACGUAGGGAAACUUACGCUAAUACCGCAAACGACCUACGGGUGAAAGCAGGGGAUCUUCGGACCUUGCGCGAUUGAAUGAGCCGAUGUCGGAUUAGCUAGUUGGCGGGGUAAAGGCCCACCAAGGCGACGAUCCGUAGCUGGUCUGAGAGGAUGAUCAGCCACACUGGAACUGAGACACGGUCCAGACUCCUACGGGAGGCAGCAGUGGGGAAUAUUGGACAAUGGGCGCAAGCCUGAUCCAGCCAUACCGCGUGGGUGAAGAAGGCCUUCGGGUUGUAAAGCCCUUUUGUUGGGAAAGAAAAGCAGCAGGUUAAUACCCCGCUGUUCUGACGGUACCCAAAGAAUAAGCACCGGCUAACUUCGUG